UAUUAGAAAUAGUCUAUAUCAUUCGUUUUUCUUCUCUACGCAUCUACGCAUACGAAGUAAAUGGGAAGAGAUAAUUUAUAAUAAGUUAAUUAGUAAGAACUUGUAUUUGUAAGAGUAAAUAAUCAUUCAAAGUAGGUAUUAAAUAUAAUCUUCAGAAAUAAAACCCAGAUUAUAAUGACCCGAUUAUCUUAGACCUCAACUAUUGACGUCAGAGACAAUGUUGAAAAUAAUUAUAAACUCAUUAACGACCUAAUUGCAGUCGGCGCUAGACGCGAUUAGCAUGGGCCAUAGUUCCACUAUCAAGUAAUUACAUUGUCUCCAUGGAUAAAUUAAUCUACACUUAGUUACUACUCUGUAACAUAGUUAUAAUUUCAGUACGAUAAUAUGAUGAAAUCCGACCUUUAUUAAUAUUACAAAAAGCAAUAUGCGAGUAAAAACAAUUUUAAACAAGGGACAUAUUAUAAAAAUGUACAGUGGAAUACAGAACCUCCUCCUUUUUGAAGUCGGUUAAAAAGCAUUCAUACUUAACCAAGUAUAGCGACGUCUCAAUUAUGUAAAAAUAAAAA